AUUGAACGCUGGCGGCAUGCCUUACACAUGCAAGUCGAACGGUAACAGGUCUUCGGAUGCUGACGAGUGGCGAACGGGUGAGUAAUACAUCGGAACGUGCCCGAUCGUGGGGGAUAACGAGGCGAAAGCUUUGCUAAUACCACAUACGAUCUACGGAUGAAAGCGGGGGAUCUUCGGACCUCGCGCGGACGGAGCGGCCGAUGGCAGAUUAGGUAGUUGGUGGGAUAAAAGCUUACCAAGCCGACGAUCUGUAGCUGGUCUGAGAGGAUGAUCAGCCACACUGGGACUGAGACACGGCCCAGACUCCUACGGGAGGCAGCAGUGGGGAAUUUUGGACAAUGGGCGAAAGCCUGAUCCAGCCAUGCCGCGUGCAGGAUGAAGGCCUUCGGGUUGUAAACUGCUUUUGUACGGAACGAAAAGCCUCUUUCUAAUAAAGAGGGGUCAUGACGGUACCGUAAGAAUAAGCACCGGCUAACUACGUG
rnacentral:rRNA from 1 species